rnacentral:lncRNA from 9 species
AGGAGGGAGUCGGAAGCUGGGGUGCCGGAGGAAGGCCAGGGUGUGCCCUGAGGUGCAUGGGGACAGAGGCAGCCUGUGUGUGAGGCAGGAAGACACAGGUCUUAUUCCAAGUCACAUUGAGGGAAGCAGAGGGCUGCAGCAGGAUCUUGGGGAUCAGAGACCUUCUCCACUGUAGAUGUGAACCAGCUGAGGCCCUGGGAGGUCCAUGGAGGUGAGGACAGAAAGGGGCCCGAGACUGAGCUCCCUGCAGCAUCAUGGUCCUGAGGUUCCAUCUUGAUUCUAAAUCACCCCUUUCCUUUCCCAUGGCCUCCCCAACCUGGUGGCUGCCCCUGGACACAGAACACUACAUGGCAGAUAAGGAGAAUUCUGAACACAACUGUCAGGGUCAUAAGAUACCAAAACGCUCCCUGUUCAUGCGUUUAAGAAAAACAUUUGGGGGGACAGCCUCCGAUGCUGAUGAUGAGCACACCUAGGAAGAGGCAGUGUCAAUGUUGCAGACCGGGUGUGCAAAGAUUGUCAGUUUGGCAUCAAUGACAACCUGGAUGUGAACACCCCCAGCCUAUGCCUCAGCACAUCCAUACCAUCAGGACCUCCACCUAAAUAAGUCCAGAAGCAGCCUCACUCAAUGCUCACCUCCUAGGGCACCUCACUUAGUAUAAUCUCCGUUGUUUAACUGCAUA